AUUGAACGCUGGCGGCAGGCCUAACACAUGCAAGUCGAGCGGAUGAAGGGAGCUUGCUCCUGGAUCCAGCGGCGGACGGGUGAGUAAUGCCUAGGAAUCUGCCUGGUAGUGGGGGAUAACGUCCGGAAACGGGCGCUAAUACCGCAUACGUCCUGAGGGAGAAAGUGGGGGAUCUUCGGACCUCACGCUAUCAGAUGAGCCUAGGUCGGAUUAGCUAGUUGGUGGGGUAAAGGCCUACCAAGGCGACGAUCCGUAACUGGUCUGAGAGGAUGAUCAGUCACACUGGAACUGAGACACGGUCCAGACUCCUACGGGAGGCAGCAGUGGGGAAUAUUGGACAAUGGGCGAAAGCCUGAUCCAGCCAUGCAGCGUGUGUGAAGAAGGUCUUCGGAUUGUAAAGCACUUUAAGUUGGGAGGAAGGGCAGUAAGUUAAUACCUUGCUGUUUUGACGUUACCAACAGAAUAAGCACCGGCUAACUUCGUG
rnacentral:rRNA from 1 species